rnacentral:rRNA from 1 species
CCAGACUCCUACGGAGGCAGCAGUGGGGGAUAUUGCACAAUGGGGGGAACCCUGAUGCAGCGACGCCGCGUGGGUGAAGGAGCGUUUCGGCGCGUAAAGCCCUAUCGGCAGGGAAGAAGGAGGACGGUACCUGACUAAGAAGCCCCGGCUAACUACGUGCCAGCAGCCGCGGUAAUACGUAGGGGGCAAGCGUUAUCCGGAUUUACUGGGUGUAAAGGGAGCGUAGACGGCAUGGCAAGUCAGAUGUGAAAGCCCGGGGCUCAACCCCGGGACUGCAUUUGAAACUGUCAGGCUGGAGUGCAGGAGAGGUAAGUGGAAUUCCUAGUGUAGCGGUGAAAUGCGUAGAUAUUAGGAAGAACACCAGUGGCGAAGGCGGCUUGCUGGACAGUAACUGACGUUGAGGCUCGAAAGCGUGGGGAGCAAACAGGAUUAGAUACCCCCGUA